GCUUAACACAUGCAAGUCGAGCGGUAACAUUUCUAGCUUGCUAGAAGAUGACGAGCGGCGGACGGGUGAGUAACGCGUAGGAAUCUGCCUAGUAGUGGGGGACAACAUGUGGAAACGCAUGCUAAUACCGCAUACGCCCUACGGGGGAAAGGAGGGGAUCUUCGGACCUUUCGCUAUUAGAUGAGCCUGCGUGAGAUUAGCUAGUUGGUGGGGUAAAGGCCUACCAAGGCGACGAUCUCUAGCUGGUCUGAGAGGAUGAUCAGCCACACUGGGACUGAGACACGGCCCAGACUCCUACGGGAGGCAGCAGUGGGGAAUAUUGGACAAUGGGCGCAAGCCUGAUCCAGCCAUGCCGCGUGUGUGAAGAAGGCCUUAGGGUUGUAAAGCACUUUCAGGAGUGAGGAAGGGCGUAUAGUUAAUACCUGUAUGUUUUGACGUUAACUCCAGAAGAAGCACCGGCUAACUCUGUGCCAGCAGCCGCGGUAAUACAGAGGGUGCGAGCGUUAAUCGGAAUUACUGGGCGUAAAGCGCGCGUANGCGGU
rnacentral:rRNA from 1 species